rnacentral:rRNA from 1 species
AACGAACGCUGGCGGCAUGCCUAACACAUGCAAGUCGAACGAAACCUUCGGGUCUAGUGGCGCACGGGUGCGUAACGCGUGGGAACCUGCCCUUAGGUUCGGAAUAACUCACCGAAAGGGGUGCUAAUACCGGAUGAUCUCUUCGGGCCAAAGAUUUAUCGCCUUUGGAUGGGCCCGCGUUGGAUUGGCUAGUUGGUAGGGUAAAGGCCUACCAAGGCGACGAUCCAUAGCUGGUCUGAGAGGAGGAUCAGCCACACUGGGACUGAGACACGGCCCAGACUCCUACGGGAGGCAGCAGUGGGGAAUAUUGGGCAAUGGGCGAAAGCCUGACCCAGCCAUGCCGCGUGAGUGAUGAAGGCCUUAGGAUUGUAAAGUUCUUUUACCCGGGACGAUAAUGACGGUACCGGGAGAAGAAGCACCGGCUAACUCCGUG